UUACUGAACCGUCGACAGGUGUUGUUGCUGGCUCUCUAACGGGAGCAUGUGCACGCUCUGUUUACACAUCCACUCACACCUGUGCACCCUCUGUAGUUCUAUGGUUUGGGGGCCUGUCCUCCUUCUGUAGCUCUACGUCUUUACACACUCGCUGUAACAAAGUCUCAUGGAAUGUUUUCCGCGUUUAAUGCAAUAAAAUACAACUUUCAGCAACGGAUCUCUUGGCUCUCGCAUCGAUGAAGAACGCAGCGAAAUGCGAUAAGUAAUGUGAAUUGCAGAAUUCAGUGAAUCAUCGAAUCUUUGAACGCACCUUGCGCCCCUUGGCUAUUCCUUGGGGCAUGCCUGUUUGAGUAUCAUGAACACCUCAACCCUCGCGGUUCGCUGUGAUGGGCUUGGACUCUGGGGGUUUGCUGGCUCUCGUGUGGUUGGCUCCCCUCAAAUAAAUCAGCUUGCCAGCGUUUUGGUGGCAUCAUGGGUGUGAUAACUAUCUACGCUCACGCUUGUCUGCCAGGUAACCUUUGGUGACAAAGGUUCGCUGGGGCUUACAAACGUCUCUCCUGAGUGGGGACAGCCUUUGAACGUUCGAUCUCAAAUCAGGUAGGACUACCCGCUGAACUUAAGCAUAUCAAUAAGCGGAGGAAAAGAAACUAACAAGGAUUCCCCUAGUAACUGCGAGUGAAGCGGGAAGAGCUCAAAUUUAAAAUCUGGCGUGCCUCUGGUCGUCCGAGUUGUAGUUUGGAGAAGCGUUUUCUGUGUUGGACCGUGUAUAAGUCUCUUG
rnacentral:rRNA from 1 species